rnacentral:rRNA from 1 species
GACGAACGCUGGCGGCGUGCCUAAUACAUGCAAGUCGAACGCAGUGGGGACGGGUGAGUAACACGUGGGUAACCUCCCAUCAGAGGGGAUAACACUUGGAAACAGGUGCUAAACUGAUACUGAUGGAUGGACCCGCGGUGCAUUAGCGAGAUGGUGAGGUAACGGCUUACCAAGGCGACGAUGCAUAGCCGACCUGAGAGUGUGAUCGGCCGCACUGGGACUGUGACAUGGCCCAGAGUCCUACGGUAGGCAGCAGUAGGGAAUCUUCGGCAAUGGGCGAAAGUCGGACCGAGCAACGCCGCGUUAGUGAAGAAGGUUUUCGGAUCGUAAAACUCUGUUGUUAGAGAAGCGGUAUCUAACCAGAAAGCCACGGCUAACUACGUGCCAGCAGCCGCGGUAAUUA